rnacentral:lncRNA from 1 species
GCAUGUUAAUUUUAGACUCCUUUACUUGAUUUGUGCCCUCAUGAGUAACUUCUAACCUAUCCCAAAUUUCUUUGGCUGAAUUAUAAGUGAAAAUAUGGUUAAAUUUAUUUGUAUCUAAGAUACAGUAUAAGAUAUUCAUGAUUUUAGCAUUGAGUUGAGCCAUUUUCUUAUCAAAUUCAUCCCAUUCACCUUCCGACUUAGGGAGGGACACACC